UUACGGGUGGAUUCUGAGGGGCCGCCGAGGAUCCCACCAUGAGGCAGCCCCUUCUGACCAGCUCAAGAGAGGACAAGACUGAUGGGCUGGGGGAGGAAGGACCCAGGCCCUUCCAGGCCCAGUUGGGCUGACCCCAGGAAGGGGGCACCACUAGAUCUCUCCUCCCGACUUCCUGAGUUCCUCCUUAGGAGCAGCCCACCUUGACAGAAGGGCAUCAGGCUGGAGGCAGAGUGAGCGGCAGCAGCCUGUGCACAGUGAAGACUUGGCCUUCAGACCAAGGACAGACCCUGCCCCACUGCAUGCCAACUGGGUGACCAAGGACACUGUGCUUCACCUCUCUGAGCCUUGGUGUCAUCUGAACAUCUCCCUCCAGUGGCUGGGGCCAUGACGAUGAGACAAGGUCCCGUGGGUGCCACACAGUCCCUGACUAUGUCCUCAAGCCAAUGUCCAUGCCCCACUCGGCCAGCCUAGCAAGCUAACAACACUGAGCUCUGGGGAACUGGAAGGACCACCAGGGCUUGCACAUCAUUGGGCAUAAGUAUAGGUGUUCUGCGAAUACUGUCAAGGUGCCUCCUGGGGAAGUGGGCAGUCCACUUAUCCAGAUACCAAAGAUGAGCCAGUUAAACAAAGGAUAGGACGCUCUGGAAGGACACCAAGGCUGUUCUGCCAGAUGUCUCCCAAGCAAGGAAGCUGGGUGCUUCGUCCAUGGGGACCGGAGCCAUCACUGUCCAGGUGCUCAAGUUGUACUGACGGCCUCCUGAACGUCAUGUUGCAGAAGGAAUCACUCUGAGACUGUCAUUCUCGAGUGCUCCAGCUUAGGGGCUACUGGGUCCAAUAAACUCUCCAAAAUCAUUUCUCUAGAGCUUUCUUGAGCUGC